rnacentral:lncRNA from 1 species
GAUUAAAUAUUUCCCUGCUGGUACAUAAAGUCAACCUACCCAAGUAGUCACAAAUUUCAUGUAUUUGUUUACCCCAACAUAUUUAAUUUUUACACAUAACUGGUCUCUAUUUUUCUGAGAAUAAAAUACUUCAACAUCUACAGAACUUGUAGUCAUUUGAUAGGUAGAUCUAAAGCCACAUAAAAUGCCACAGUAGAGCUAAAAAUUCAGGUAAAAUUUUGUCUAGUAAGAACCUAGACAUAAUGAGACAUAAUCUAAUAAGAAUGUGCAAUUGCAUCUAGUAAGUUUUUUCCUACAUCCUUAUAGGGGUUCCAUAGUAUCAGUAUUUUCUAAAUCACUUUAAAUUAUUUUUAGCUUAUAUUUCAUGACCUACCAAAUGUCUUUUCCAGUAAGAAUCAAUCCCUCUACUGAAAAUGUUGUUUGAUAGAACUGCAUUAGAAAAUAGUAGAUGAGACCACAAAUGUUUGAAAAGGUCUACUAAUUGUCUUACAGCCAUUCAUCUAUUCAGCAUUUAUUAGACACCUACCAGGGCCAUUCCCUGAAACUACAAAAGUAAAAUAUAUAUUCUCUGUCCUCAAGGAAUUUAUACAGAAUCUAGAGAGGGAACUUGGCUCAACAGAGUACAGGACCCAGGGAAAGUGUUGAUAAUUAAUGCUUCUCCCAGUGACUAAAAAAGAUUAAUAAAUACAGGUUUAAGUAGAAAAGUAAAAAAUGAGAACGUUCCUAUAAAGACAAUAGAGUGCUGAAUGAAUUAAGAUAGCCUAAGAAUAGUGUGGUGGGUUGAAUUGUUGCCCCCAAAAAGAUCCAAGUCCUAACCCCAGUCCCCAUGAGACUCUGUUUGGGAAAAGGAGGCAGAAAUUGGAGUUAUGCUAAUCAAUAAACCAAGAAAAUUCUAGAAGCUGGAAGAGGCAAGAAUCAUGAGAGAAUACUUUUCUGUUUCCAGCUACCAAGUUUGUGGUGAUUUUUUACAAUAGCCCUAGGAAAAUAAUACAGGCAGGGUAUCUGUAUAUGAAUUUCCUGGUCUGGGGACAAAUAGCAAAAACAAAUACACAAACAAAACCAAGCUUCCAAGUUGGGAAAUAACCGUCUCAUCUGUAAUAACAAUUCAACCCACCACACUAUCCUUAGGGCCUCUAUAUUGGCCUGAGUCAGAGCCCCAUCUGUCACUGUCUUGCUGUGUCACUUGGACACAGUCCUCUGAGCUACAAUUUCACUGUCUGUGGAGUAGGCGAGAUGGAGAAAGAAAACAUCAGGGUUGAAAAGGCAGUAGUACCAAAAUUUGAACAACAGCCUCAAGAACCACCCACUCCAGUACUUGGGGAUUGCUGGUAAAAAUCUAUACUCAAAAACAUCAAAUGGAGGAUCUUGUAUUAUUGCAGAGACUACGGUGAGUUACAAAGCUUUAUUCUCAUAGGUUUCCUCCUAGGACCUGCUUCCAUCUCCAGACCCUACCCCUCCAUUUUGAUGCUGAACCUCUAGGCCAAAUGGAAUGGGCACCAUCUGCUAUCAAUACAGCCACCACUCUUCCCAGCCAAGAAGAGUCCCAGGCCAAGUUUAUCUUGAGAGCUAACAGGAGGUGACAAGCCUGGCAGGACACAAAUUCUUCCUGCAUGAUUGAUUCAGCCUGGCUGACCAGUUUCAUGCUAAUGAGGAUGUGCCAGAGCUGACAACAAACACAUUUUUGAAUAAUUUAAAACUUUAGAGCAUGAUUUGCCAGAUGAUGUGAUUCAUUGUGUAAUUAUGGCCCCAGUUAAAUCUGCUUCUGUGGGUGCCUCCACAACAAACAUCAGUGACUAUGAACUGCCUAUUAUCAAAAUUAACUGUAUAAAUAAUGCAAAAGAGCAGAGACACAUUAAUCUUGUGAGAAGACAGUGGAGGUAAAGCUGACCUAAGCCAUCAUAAACUGGUGCUUCAUAAAGAACUGAGUAGCGUUUCAAAUGUAGUACUUUAACAUGGAUAACUGACUUAAACACAAGCAAAAAUAUCUAUUUUCAUCCCUUACAGUAUGUUUGACAUAGACUGAUCUUAGAAAUUCUGGUUGAUUUUAAUGUCUUGCCUCAAUUCAGUUAUCUACUUUAAAAAGUUUCUUUUUACCAUUCUGGCAAUUUAUGUUCCCUCCUUUAUAAGUCCCCAUGCCAGUAAUUUGAAUACAGUAUAACAAAAUUCAAAUAUCUGAACCAUUCCUUCAAAGAGUGAACUGUCAAACACCUUUCUCCUCAGGAAAGGAAACUCCAAAACUUCUUAACUAUGUUAGGUAGGGGUUUAUUAACUAUGAGCCCGCAAGCAGUUUUUUAAAACAUAGUCCUUUUGCCUAAAAAUAGUGUGGAAUUGAGGAGAAAAUAACAGUAACCAGAACUUUCCAUUUAGACAGAGCACUGUAUUAUACAGAAAGAGCACCGAGUUCAAUGUGGAGACAAUCGAUUCAGAGUGACCUCUGACCUCGCAUUUGUUAGCUAGGUUGUGGCUGUGACAGACUAAUCUCUCUAAACUUCAGUUUCUUCAUCUGAAAAAUAGAUUUCAUAACACCUAACCAAUCACUGAACUUCAAAUCUAAUGGAAUAUCAUACAGAGUUUUCUGUAACAAUACACUCUAAUAGAUGGUAGGUUAUCACUCAAGUAGGUAACAUUAAGGAAUAUACUCAUUGGAGUAUAUUCUAAUUAGACUUCCAUUUUUUAAAAGGGGGGAAAAAGUUGUCCUAAAAUGUUUUUCCUAUUUUCGUCUGCCACUGAGGACAAGUAUUCAGGAAAUCGUAUCCCCACUUCCUAAUUUGAAGGCACAGAAAAUCAUCUGCCACUAAUAACAGGAGGACCUUCAAGGUGACAGUUGCCACCUGUGUCCCACUCUAUUCAAUCAACAUCUCUGAGAUUCCUCUGAACUGGCAAGGGCUACGCAUCCUCUACUGAGUCACAGACAGACUUCCAAGCAACCUGCCUAAACUGUCCUCACCUCCCCCCCGCUGCACCUGACACAGCAACUGUUUGGGCAGCUCCCAUAAGAGCUGCUGAUUUCAAAGCCUGUCCCAUCCAACUAUGCAUGUCCACCCUGUCCUGUGACACCACAGUCAUCUGAAACUCCAGAUAUGCAUUCAUGAUCCUAAACAUUUGCUCCUCACUUCAGUUUCUCUGAAUUUCAGACACAAAACUCCCUGUUAGAAACCUGGUCUGCUAGGGUAGCUCCCAUGGCCAUACGCAAUCAUCUGUCUCAGCUUGUUUCAGAGAUCUCAUUAUUAGAAACAAUCGACACAAAAGCACUUAACCAACACCUGUCUUAUUGAUUACUUUCUGUGUUAUAAACCUUUUUUUUUUUUAUCUUCCACAAAAUCAAAUUUGAAGUUUUUAAAGUUGUCUUUUUGUGAAUGCAGUCUUCUCUAGAGUUUGGAAACUUGGAGACUUACCAGAAAAGUUUAUCAGAAUGUUGCUUUAUGUUUAAAUAGAGGUUUAGAAAGUUCUAUGUAUGCUUCUUAUUAUUUAAUCAACAAUUAAAAUUUAAUGACAAAAUGCUUCACAUCUGAAAUCUAUAGGGAUUUUCUAUGAGCAAUGACUGUAAAAUCAGCCCAUUAUGAAGAGAUUUGCAUACUUUAAUUAUUGUGUUCUAAAGCUUUUGUCAAACAGAUGCUGUAAUGCAGUAAGUACCAUGUGGUUUUGGUAAACUGUGAACUUUCUGCUCUUAGUGUAUGUUGUCAGAUGAAUAAAUAUGAUACCAUAGGAACAUGCCUUGUUGGAAUGAGGCCUCCGCUUUAGUGCGAAAGUUUAGUAUCUUGUUCUCAAAAUUUAUCUAGAGAAUGAGAAAUUAAGGAAGACUGAAAUGUAGAUAAAUUGCUUGAAGAUCUCAAGUGAAUUAGUAAAUACACAAAAAUGACCAUGAGAUCUUUGGCAACAUUGCCAAAAAUGGCCUUAAAAUGCAAAGCUAAAUUCUGAAAUAAAUUUGACUAUGAAGCCCAGAUAAAAGAGUCAGAUGCAUAAGCAUUCAGGCUUUUAAUAUUCCAGCUCUGAUGACUAGAUAUAAAGAAAAAGUAAAAUUUAGCCAUACCAUUUGCACACAUUUAAAUUAUAUGGAGAAAACAUGCUGGGCACGUUACUUAAACUCUCUUUGCUUCAGUUUUCUCAUCUAUAAAAUGGGGUCUAAUAAUAGUACCUAUUGCAUAGGAUUAUUAUAAUUAAGUGAAGUAAUAUUUAGUACUUAGAACUAAAUAUUAAAUUAACAUUUAGUAUUUAGAACAGUGCCUGGCACAGAUGGUCAUGGUGAUGAUUAUACAUAGGGCUUUUAGAAUUCAGAGACUCUUUUAAAAACCUCUUGUAUUAAGAAAGUUUCCACUAUAUUUUAAAGUUUAAAGAUCCCUUUGAAAUAAUGUCAUAACGGGCUGCGAUUUUAGGAUAAUAGCAGUUUUUGCAAAUUACUUAACAUUUCAAUGAAAAAAUUAAAAGUUGGUGGUCUAAUAUUUUGGUAUUUGUAAAAUAUGCUACUAAAAUAAUACUUUGAUACACACGUUUGUAACAUUUCUAGAGGUUUUUUUUCAGAAGGAAAGAGAAUUGAACAUAUAUUAUCAUAAUCCCUAACACCAAUAACAUCUAUGCAGUGCAAGUCUCCUGAAGGUCUUUCAAAAAGUCUGUGUUGAAGGAAGCAAAUUCUGUAUGCCAGGAAGCACUUCUUCACUGAGUUCCAGGUCAUUAAAUCACAGCAAUCUUGGAAAUAAAUCUUUAAAUCUUUUCACAGCCCACCAAGUUUUUGCUAGCCCCUUCUGCUUUACAUUAAUCCUCUGAUUUUUGAAUUUUAUAUGUGUUUGGAGAUGGGGGAUAGAACCCCUCUGAGGAUCUGAUAAAAAUUAUGAGCCCCCCAAAAUUCACAUACACAUGUCAUUUUACAUUCAAGGUCGGGGCUUCGCAGACCAGAGUUUCAUCCAUAAAACUCCCUAGUGCAAAUGGUGACUAUGCAAUGUUACUCAGCAAUUAAAUAAAUUUAAUAACUCAGAAAAAUAUCACUUAUCCAAAUAAAAUACAGAUAAAAUUAAAUAAGUUUAAUUUUUAUAAAGAUUAUAUUAUUAUCUGUAUUAAAUAUAUCGCUCUAUCUUUUAAAAGUAGAGACCGAUUGCUAAUUGUCCAAACAAGAUAUACUGUACCACUUUUAGGCAAGUUUUGUAUUGUUUUAAAUUGUUUAUAUAAAGUACAGAGCAGGACAUGGGCAAGAGGUUGUGUUCAAUAUUAAGUAUAAAGAAGCCAAAAUGGUGAACUAUGGAAUGAUUAUAUUGAUCUCAACAGCUAUAUAUAAUAGUGUUUGAAUGAGAUAGUCUUCGUUUAAAAAAAUCAAUGUAAGUGUUUAAAAGUAAAACGUUUGAUAAGCAGGGAAAAGUUUGGGCAUUUUUUCUGGUGCAUAGGUGCAUAGGUGUUGCUGGCAUCUUCUAAUGAUUCUAACAGUAUUAAAGCACUAAGAAUGCCCAGGUAAUAGCUGAAAAAAUAUUUCCUUUACAUAGCACUACAUAAAAUUUAUAAAAACUUUCCUACUAAACAAAACUAGAAUUACAGAGAUUUAGAGUUCCCUCACUUUAUGAGCAAGGACUAAAGUCACACACACCAUAAGACCACUGGAAUUAGAGGCAGAUUCAGAGCCCUGGGGCCUACCCCAGCAGGUGUUAGGAUAAAUUGCAAACUUGCAGCCUGAGAACUUUUUGUACUAUAAUAUAGAAAAGGUUUCCUGUUAGCCCUUCAAGCUUCAAGCUGCUUUUCUGAGAACAAUAGCAGUCACAGGAUUUAAAAAAAAAAUGGUGUUAGCUUUAUCAAAAAUCUUUUUUGUCCCCACUUCACUGUUCAUUAUACUGCAACCUUUUUAAGUGGUAUCAGGAUUUUUCAAAAAAAAAAAAAGACUGGCCUAGUUACUUUCAUUACAUGCAACUAUUAAAACUCUAAUAUAUUAACUUUGUAGGACUGUUAACCUAAGUAAUAUGGUGACAGAGAGAGAAGCCCCUCACCCCUCCCAUUCCUACACACAUACCACAGGAGACUUUAAAACAAUCUAACCCAACCAGAUUGUUCUCCAUUCCCCAGCAUCCCGACACACAAUAACAAAGACUCUGAUCCUUUGCUCCUAUGCCCACCUACCACAAAUCUAGAAAGGAAACGAGAAGAGAAAGUAAGCAAGAGCAAAGGGAGAAAAACUGAUAAUGAAUUUUGUGCCCAUACCAAUGGUGAAUAAAAAUCAAGUUCAUAGGUUUUCAUUCAUCAACCAAUCUCAAGUCUCUGAAGCAAAGAACAAGCAUUUAUUUGGUAAUUAGUGAGAGGAAUGCAAAAAUCUUUCUUUUAUUUUACAAGCCUCUCUUUUUUCCAUGCUUCUCUCUUUCUUUUUC